GGCGGCGUGCUUAACACAUGCAAGUCGAACGGGGGCAGGAGGAAACCUAGUGAAUCCUGCCCUAGUGGCGGACGGGUGAGUAACGCGUGGGCAACCUGCCGCAUACCGGGGGAUAACACUUAGAAAUAGGUGCUAAUACCGCAUAAGCGCACAGAGCCGCAUGGCUCGGUGUGAAAAACUCCGGUGGUAUGCGAUGGGCCCGCGUCUGAUUAGCUUGUUGGCGGGGCAGCGGCCCACCAAGGCGACGAUCAGUAGCCGGCCUGAGAGGGUGGACGGCCACAUUGGGACUGAGACACGGCCCAGACUCCUACGGGAGGCAGCAGUGGGGAAUCUUGCACAAUGGGGGAAACCCUGAUGCAGCAACGCCGCGUGAGCGAAGAAGUAUUUCGGUAUGUAAAGCUCUAUCAGCAGGGAAUAGAAAAGAAGGUACCUGACUAAGAAGCCCCGGCUAACUACGUGCCAGCAGCCGCGGUAAUACGUAGGGGGCAAGCGUUAUCCGGAUUUACUGGGUGUAAAGGGAGCGUAGACAGCUGUUUAAGUCAGAAGUGAAAGCCCAUUGCUUAACGAUGGGACUGCUUUUGAAACUAAGGAGCUGGAGUGCAGGAGAGGUAAGUGGAAUUCCUAGUGUAGCGGUGAAAUUGCGUAGAGAUUAGGAGGA
rnacentral:rRNA from 1 species